CAGUAGCCGCGGUAAUGCGUAGGGUGCGAGCGUUAAUCGGAAUUACUGGGCGUAAAGCGUGCGCAGGCGGUUGUGUAAGACAGGUGUGAAAUCCCCGGGCUUAACCUGGGAACUGCGCUUGUGACUGCACAGCUAGAGUAUGGCAGAGGGGGGUGGAAUUCCACGUGUAGCAGUGAAAUGCGUAGAGAUGUGGAGGAACACCGAUGGCGAAGGCAGCCCCCUGGGCCAAUACUGACGCUCAUGCACGAAAGCGUGGGGAGCAAACAGGAUUAGAUACCCCUGUAGUCCCUGUCUCUUAUAC
rnacentral:rRNA from 1 species